CGUGGGGUACUCGAGUGGCGAACGGGUGAGUAACACGUGAGUAACCUACCCUUGACUUUGGGAUAAUUUCAGGAAACUGGGGCUAAUACCGGAUAGGAGCUCCUGCUGCAUGGUGGGGGUUGGAAAGUUUCGGCGGUUGGGGAUGGACUCGCGGCUUAUCAGCUUGUUGGUGGGGUAGUGGCUCACCAAGGCUUUGACGGGUAGCCGGCCUGAGAGGGUGACCGGCCACAUUGGGACUGAGAUACGGCCCAG
rnacentral:rRNA from 1 species